rnacentral:snRNA from 1 species
GAGCUCACUUUGGUAGCACUUCUACUAAAUUUGAACAAUAUAAAGAAAAUUAGCAUGCCCCCCCAUGCAAGGAUGCAUGAAGCAUUCCAUAUUUUU